AAUCUUUAUUCAUGCAACAGUAGCAGCAGUAGUAGAGAUAAGAGUAUGAGUAAGAUUCUACAUUACCUGCUUACGUGACGCACUCGUUAUUAGGUUUUUCAAUUUAAUCGUAAUUAAAAUUGUUCCAUUUGCGAAUUGCUUCGUAGGAUUUCGAAAUUUGUUUUAUUUGUCGUAAAUUAUUGUUUACGUUUUCACUUUGAGAAGCGAAAUCGCGAAACGAUUUCGUAAGGCGAGCAAGGUAUAGAGUAGAAUUCAACCUGGCGAAUUUAUUAAUUAAAACGAAAAUGCAUUUAUGAUUCGAAGGUAAUUGGCAAAUUUUUGAAUUUUUAAUAGGAAAAAAAAAAAAAAAUCCUGAGAUAUUAUGCGAAUAAUCGUUAGCAUAAAUUGUAAAUGCAAAUCUGAAAAUCGAUUUUUUUCCUUCCUCCUCCCGUUAUUAAUUGAAAAAACUUGCUUCUGCUUUUUUUUUAUUUUUGUUUCGAUAUGUUCAUUUACCCAAUAUACUUUAUUGACACGUGUAAUUUUUGUAAUAUUUCUUCCACUGUCGUGUGUAUGGGUGAUAACAAAACUUUGAACUUCCGCGAUUUGCCCAGAUGUUAGAGCGUUUAUGACUUUUGCGACAUCUGCUCUUCUAUGUCUUGUUCGUUUGUCAACAGGAAAUGACGUCUCUUCCACUCUCAGAAAGAAACACAGAGACAGAAGAAAAACUAAAGAAAAAAGAAACUUUCACACGGAAGAAGACGAGCGAGUUAAAUUUACUAAAUAACAAGUGUUGUCUUUCCCUUAGGGGACAUUAAAGACGUCUUGGAGCUGACCUUCUUAACAGAUCUAUCCUUUCAUUUUUUCAGGACAUCUUAAUGAGAUUUCGGAAAAAAGAGAAACUCUAUAUUUGGAUAAAUAAACUUCGAAAAAUAUCUUCCUAUCUUAUUCUUGCACCUUUUAAAUUAGUAAAACAAUACUUAAGCAUCCUCCAAAGAAAGGAAAACUAACAUCACAUAAAAGCAAAUCUAAAGAAGCAGUUGGAUAUUUCUGCCAGAGGAAGAAAAAAAUCGUCUCGCUUGGUUUCAGAUUUUCUUGCAAUUAACAAAAUAAUUUUGUCAUCAUUCUGUUCCUCCGGAAGUAAGUUUGAAUCAUCGGCAGUGGAAAAGAGUUUUCGCCACAUCAGCUACUUCCUCUGCAACCCCUGGGGGAGAAAGACUUCUCUAAAAUCAAUAGAAGGUCUGGCUCGGAGAAUGUAAGGGUGACUGGCUUGAAUGUAAAGUGCUACUUUACUCGCUCUGACCAAAAUAUACGGAUCUGAAAGUCAUCGCCGUAAAUUGAGAAAAUGACUUUUUCCUCUUUUUCUUUUUUUUUCCUCCUUCCUUCUUAAGAGAGCUGAUUGCACACUUUGUCCUCUGGGGACUUUCAUUGUCGGUAUGUAAGAUAAUGGAAAUUUCCCAUGUCUCCUGUGAAUAUUUUCAAACAGAAUUAGUCAACUUAUGUUUCUUUUUUGAUAAGAUUUCUUCCUUCUCCUCUUCUUCCUCCACCUCCUUCACUUCUUAAUUAUUCAAUUACUUUUACUUUCUGCAAAGAAAAGAAUCGAACAGCCCAACAGCCUAAUUUGCAUUCUUAACAUAAACAUUUCAAUUUGUAAAAAAAAAAGAAAGAAAAAAAGAAGAAAACCACAUCUGAUUAUCCGAACGUCAUCGUGUCUGUCAGUGUGUUUAUUUAAUUAACUUCAAAGCUACAAUUCAGCUUUGGUUCAAAAUUUAUACUUGAGAAUCACCUUAUGACCGCGUUAUAGUAACAAAUUAUUAUUAUUAUUAUUUUGAUUAAUCUGGUAAAAAAUUAUAUAUUUUCUUUUGUAAGC
rnacentral:lncRNA from 1 species